GAUGAACGCUGGCGGCGUGCUUAACACAUGCAAGUCGAACGAAAAGACGCCUGCUUGCAGGGGUACUCGAGUGCCGAACGGGUGAGUGAAACGUGUGGAUUCUGCCCUUCACUUCCGGGUAAACCUGGGGAACUGGGGCUAAUACCGGGUAGAACGAUGGUAUGGAUGCGAUUGUGGAGAGUAUUUCGGUGUGGGGUUAGCUCGCGGCCUAUCAGCCUGUUGGUGGGGUAAUGGCCUACCAAGCGGUCGACGGGUAGCCGGCCUGAGAGGGGGGACGGCCACAUUGGGACUGAGAGACGGACCAGACGCCUACGGUAGGCAGCAGUGGGGAAUAUGGCACAAUGGGGGCAAGCCUGAUGCAGCGACGCCGGGUGGGUGAUGAUGGCCUUCGGGUUGUAAACACCUUUCGCUAGGGACGAAGCGCAAUUGACGGUACCUGGAGAAGAAGCACCGGCUAACUACGUG
rnacentral:rRNA from 1 species